rnacentral:rRNA from 1 species
AUGAACGCUGGCGGCGUGCCUAAUACAUGCAAGUCGAGCGAACAGACGAGGAGCUUGCUCCUCUGACGUUAGCGGCGGACGGGUGAGUAACACGUGGAUAACCUACCUAUAAGACUGGGAUAACUUCGGGAAACCGGAGCUAAUACCGGAUAAUAUAUUGAACCGCAUGGUUCAAUAGUGAAAGACGGUUUUGCUGUCACUAAUAGAUGGAUCCGCGCCGCAUUAGCUAGUUGGUAAGGUAACGGCUUACCAAGGCAACGAUGCGUAGCCGACCUGAGAGGGUGAUCGGCCACACUGGAACUGAGACACGGUCCAGACUCCUACGGGAGGCAGCAGUAGGGAAUCUUCCGCAAUGGGCGAAAGCCUGACGGAGCAACGCCGCGUGAGUGAUGAAGGUCUUCGGAUCGUAAAACUCUGUUAUUAGGGAAGAACAAAUGUGUAAGUAACUAUGCACGUCUUGACGGUACCUAAUCAGAAAGCCACGGCUAACUACGUG